AAGAGCGGGAAGUUUACGCAUCGUCUUGUGCUGAGUUACCACCGGGUUUGAGAGAUUACGUUGGAUGUCCAAUAGAGAUGCCCUACGAUCUCUCAUUAGACAAAGUGAAGGGCGAUGCACCAAUCGAAAAUUAUUUCGUCAAUGACGAUCUUAAACAGUCCCC